UAGUGGCAGACGGGUGAGUAAUAUAUAGGAAUCUACCUAGUAGUACGGAAUAAUUGUUGGAAACGGCAACUAAUACCGUAUAUGCCCUACGGGGGAAAAAUUUAUUGCUAUUAGAUGAGCCUAUAUUAGAUUAGCUAGUUGGUGGGGUAAUAGCCUACCAAGGCAAUGAUCUAUAGCUGAUCUGAGAGGGUGAUCAGCCACACUGGAACUGAGAUACGGUCCAGACUCCUACGGGAGGCAGCAGUGGGGAAUAUUGGACAAUGGGCGAAAGCCUGAUCCAGCCAUGCCGCAUGAGUGAAGAAGGCCUUUGGGUUGUAAAGCUCUUUUAGUGAGGAAGAUAAUGACGGUACUCACAGAAGAAGUCCUGGCUAACUCCGUGCCAGCAGCCGCGGUAAUACGGAGAGGGCUAGCGUUAUUCGGAAUUAUUGGGCGUAAAGGGCGCGUAGGCUGGUUAGUAAGUUAAAAGUGAAAUCCCGAGGCUUAACCUUGGAACUGCUUUUAAAACUGCUAACCUAGAGAUUGAAAGAGGAUAGAGGAAUUCCUAGUGUAGAGGUGAAAUUCGUAAAUAUUAGGAGGAACACCAGUGGCGGAGGCGUCUAUCUGGUUCAAAUCUGACGCUGAGGCGCGAAGGCGUGGGGAGCAAACAGGAUUAGAUACCCUGGUAGUCCACGCUGUAAACGAUGAAUGUUAAAUAUGGGAAGUUUACUUUCUGUAUUACAGCUAACGCGUUAAACAUUCCGCCUGGGGACUACGGUCGCAAGGUUAAAACUCAAAGGAAUUGACGGGGACCCGCACAAGCGGUGGAGCAUGUGGUUUAAUUCGAUGCAACGCGAAAAACCUUACCACUCCUUG
rnacentral:rRNA from 1 species